GUUUACAAUCCUUUAGCUAGACAGAAAAGUUCUCCAAGUCCUCACUGGACCCAGAAGCGCAACCGGCUUCACCUCUCGCAGUCCAGGCGGGACUUUGCGGCACCUGUCCCAGGCACUCCUGCUUCCCAGAGGGAGGUCUUCCCAGCCAAUCAAGAGGAAGAGAGGAGAAGCUAGUAACAGAAGGAGACCCGCCAUCGUGGCCAACGACACCGCGAAGAGGGAAGGGCGGUCCAUGCACGAGACCCAGCGUCCAAUCAAGCCCAGCAGGCGCCGGCCAGCCGCGGGUGAAUUUCAGUCAGUGCGUCAAAUUCCGUAAAAGAUGCAAUUGCAGUUUAACUGGGAUUCCACGGUGCAUUUCGAUCACUUUGGGAGACCGUUGACAUCUUUACAAUGUUAAUUUUCUCGUUCAAGAUUUCUCUCCAUUUACUCAGAAAGUUUCUUUUGUGUCUGCCAAUAAAGUUUU
rnacentral:lncRNA from 1 species